CAGCAGCCGCGGUAAUACGAAGGGUGCAAGCGUUACUCGGAAUUACUGGGCGUAAAGCGUGCGUAGGUGGUUGUUUAAGUCUGCUGUGAAAGCCCUGGGCUCAACCUGGGAAUUGCAGUGGAUACUGGGCGACUAGAGUAAGGUAGAGGAUAGUGGAAUUUCCGGUGUAGCAGUGAAAUGCGUAGAGAUCGGAAGGAACAUCUGUGGCGAAGGCGACUAUCUGGGCCAUUACUGACACUGAGGCACGAAAGCGUGGGGAGCAAACAGGAUUAGAUACCCCCGUAGUCCCUGUCUCUUAUAC
rnacentral:rRNA from 1 species